rnacentral:rRNA from 2 species
UUUAAUUGAAGAGUUUGAUCAUGGCUCAGAUUGAACGCUGGCGGCAGGCUUAACACAUGCAAGUCGAGCGGUAGCACAAG